rnacentral:snRNA from 1 species
AUACUUACCUGGCAGGGGAAGCAGCGUGACCACGUAGGCGGGUUCUCCAGGGCAGGUGAUUGUCUCUGAUAUGUCCUCCAUCGGAGGUCUAUAUUGAGCAGAUUCUUUUUGGUGUUGGGUGGUGGAACCGGAGCUUGUCCCAUCCACUCC